rnacentral:rRNA from 1 species
UACAGAGGUCUCAAGCGUUGUUCGGAUUCAUUGGGCGUAAAGGGUGCGUAGGCGGCGCGUUAAGUCGGGUGUGAAAUCUCGGAGCUUAAUUCCGAAACUGCAUUCGAUACUGCCGUGCUUGAGGACUGGAGAGGAGACUGGAAUUUACGGUGUAGCGGUGAAAUGCGUAGAUAUCGUCAGGAACACCAGUGGCGAAGGCGGGUCUCUGGACAGUUACUGACGCUGAGGCACGAAGGCGAGGGGAGCAAACGGG